rnacentral:lncRNA from 1 species
UGAAUUUACGAGCGCUCAACACCCGUUGAAUAUGGCCGGUGUCAGUAAACGUCGGCAAAAAAAAGCGUUAUUAAAUUGUUUCCAGCAGCACAUUUAGUCACAAACGCUCUGGACAACACGAAAACUGCCUAACCAGCUGUGCUAGGGAGGAAGCUUUUGUGAAUGAUGAUGAGGAAGUCGACUGAGCCAGAGGGAUUUUCCCCAUUCUAUACCCCCAUUGUCUUCUUCCCGAUUAUACACUUUUUUCCCAAAGUAUGCACUUGCGCAUUUUCUGUCAUGGAUCAGAAUUUGAUUGGCGUAAUUAUUGGCUAAAGGGAGUUCCCACCAUUGUUAAAUCUAUGACGGGAAAGGGUGGAUAAUUGGGAUCUAGCUCUCUAACCCCAGCCCUAACCCCUAGAGAAGUUUCAACUCAGGGUAAUGUAUUGCUAUUAUUGCAUGCCCAAUUAAACAUUGAUUUUGCACAAAGAAACAUGUACAUAGACAUAUAGAUGACUGUCUUCCAGAGCCAUAGGAUAUGAGGGAAACUGUUCAUCUCAAGCCCCAUUCCAUCUUUUGAAUUAUAAAUGUAUAUGAUAUAAGAAUGUAUAUGAAACUACAGUAUUCAGGUGUUUUUGUUACAUUUUAAUUGGGACUAUAGGAAUGUAAAAAAUAGACAAAUCUGUUGAAUGAAACCUAUUUACUUGUAUAAUUUUACAUUAUAUUUAGUUAUUUACUUUAUUUUUUAUUGUAAGAAUAAUGAUGAUGAUGAGACUGCGUACCAUUGAUCUAGCCUUGUCACGCCGUGAUCUGUUACACCUGUCCUUGUGCUUGUCUCCUCCUCCCCCCAGGUGUCGCCAAUCUUCCCUAUUAUCACCUGUGUAUUUAUACCUGUGUUCUCUGUCUUGUUUGUUGCCAGUUUGUCUUGUUCGUUCAAGCUUACCAGCGGUUUUCCUGUCAGCGGCUAUUGUUUCCAACCCUUGCUUUGCUAGUCCUCCUGGUUUUGACCGAUGCCUGACAUCUCUGCCUGAGCCUGCACCUUUGCUCCACCUCUGGAUUACUGAACCCUGCCUGACCCUGAGUCUGCCUGCCGUCCUGUACCUUUGCCUAACCCUUGAUUUUCGACCCCUGCCUGCCUUGACCUGUCUUUGCAUGUCCCUGUUUGCUACAAUAAACAGGGUUACUUCGACAGUCUGCAUCUGGGUCUUACCUUGAUUCUUGAUAAGCCUAUACUGUCAGAUCCAAAUAAUGUUUACAUAAAGCAACAUUGCCAAAGAUGUCAACAUUCCAGACCUCCAGGACAUGUCCUCAUUUGAUCCAGAGAUGGAACCACUGGUUAAAUCGUGACUGGACCAAAGACUGGGGCAGGUACUGUAGCCUACGUAUGCUGUAUGGAAGUGCUACAAUUCUGAGUGGUAUAUGGUCAAACGGUAAUUCUGUGUGCAGAGUCUAUGCAAUGGAAU